rnacentral:lncRNA from 10 species
AUUCACAAAGAACCAAUCAGGAGAGAAUGGGCAAACAGGAAUAGAAGUUCUCACUUUGGGCUGUAAGUUUCAGACUAUUUUGGCUUGAAGGUGGGGUUUCACCAGGGAUCCACCUCUGUCUGCCUAGAAUUUGUCUGCCUCCUGCCUCUAUCAUAAUCAAAGACCACACAAAGCAAAAUCAUGGGACUCUGAAAACUCUCCCAGGGCCUCUGUAGACCACUGUUGUUCUAAUUCUUCCACAGAAAGGACAAAAGUGAUAUACAGACACACACC